rnacentral:pre_miRNA from 1 species
ACAAAAUUCGGACCAUCAGUCUACCGAGAAAUUUCACCGGCUCGGUGGAAGAUCUUCCCUUUGUCAU